rnacentral:rRNA from 1 species
UGCCAGCCGCCGCGGUAAUACGGAGGGUCCAAGCGUUAUCCGGAUUUAUUAGGUUUAAAGGGUACGUAGGCGGAAGAAUAAGUCAGUGGUGAAAUCCUGCAGCUCAACUGUAGAACUGCCAUUGAUACUGUUUUUCUUGAGUAUAGUUGAGGUGGGCGGAAUGUGUAGUGUAGCGGUGAAAUGCAUAGAUAUUACACAGAACACCAAUUGCGAAGGCAGCUUACCAAACUAUUAUUGACGCUGAAGCACGAAAGCGUGGGUAGCGAACAGGAUUAGAUA